GGUAGUCCGCGCCGUAAACGAUGUCAACUAGCCGUUGGAAUCCUUGAGAUUUUAGUGGCGCAGCUAACGCAUUAAGUUGACCGCCUGGGGAGUACGGCCGCAAGGUUAAAACUCAAAUGAAUUGACGGGGGCCCGCACAAGCGGUGGAGCAUGUGGUUUAAUUCGAUGCAACGCGAAGAACCUUACCUACUCUUGACAUCCAGAGAACUUAGCAGAGAUGCUUUGGUGCCUUCGGGAACUCUGAGACAGGUGCUGCAUGGCUGUCGUCAGCUCGUGUUGUGAAAUGUUGGGUUAAGUCCCGCAACGAGCGCAACCCUUAUCCUUUGUUGCCAGCGGUUAGGCCGGGAACUCAAAGGAGACUGCCAGUGAUAAACUGGAGGAAGGUGGGGAUGACGUCAAGUCAUCAUGGCCCUUACGAGUAGGGCUACACACGUGCUACAAUGGCGCAUACAAAGAGAAGCGACCUCGCGAGAGCAAGCGGACCUCAUAAAGUGCGUCGUAGUCCGGAUUGGAGUCUGCAACUCGACUCCAUGAAGUCGGAAUCGCUAGUAAUCGUAGAUCAGAAUGCUACGGUGAAUACGUUCCCGGGCCUUGUACACACCGCCCGUCACACCAUGGGAGUGGGUUGCAAAAGAAGUAGGUAGCUUAACCUUCGGGAGGGCGCUUACCACUUUGUGAUUCAUGACUGGGGUGAAGUCGUAACAAGGUAACCGUAGGGGAACCUGC
rnacentral:rRNA from 1 species